rnacentral:lncRNA from 1 species
UGGCUAAGCAGGAGAGUAAUGAUACUUUCUAAUAUAGAUUAUAAUACUCGAACUGUUUAAAAACAGUGUGUAGGAUACAGGAAACUUGUAUUUUGGAUAAACCAUUGUUUUAGCACAAUGCUUACCUCACAGUAGGAAUUGGAAACAACUUAAUUUACUUGGAAACCACAUUCUGAUAAAGCAAGGCACCUGAACUUGCUGUGCUAUACUCUCAACCAGAAGAUUAAAGAGUCAGCCAACAUGGACAGAGAUAGAUAGCGGAACUGACAGGAACAGAAAACCAAAUGCCGCAUGUUCUAGCUUAUAAGUGGGAGCUAAACAUUGAGUACACAGGGACACAAAGAAGAAAAUGACAGACACUGAGGCCUACUUGAUAGUGGACAGUGGGAAGGAGGAAUACCCGGGAGAAGUUUCCUUUCCCUAAAUAUACCUGCAAUUUUCAAGUCCUUUUAAUUCACGCCUUUAAAUGAAAGGGUUGAGUAUACAAGAAUAUCAAUAAGUUCCAAUUGAAGAGCGGAUUCUUUUGCAAUUCAGGCAUGUGCCGGCGAUAACGGGCGAGUUGGCAUGAAGAGAGGCAGAGAUGGAUUAAUUAUGCAGAGAACAUGGAAAUUCUGCUUAUCAUCGGCUAGCAAAGGAGCCCGGCUCACAUAAUCAGCAAACGAAGGGAGAGGAAAAAAUAACAAUGCAAUGGCACCUUCCAGCCCAUCAUCAGGAUUUUUUCUACCCCCUUGUAAUUAAAAAAUAACAUACACUUAUAGCCCUAUCUCCUGUGCAGGCAAGGAGUGGAUGUCCACAAAAUAAUUGCACUGGGAUAUUAGAGCUGGCGACACGGGCUGUCCAUUCCGGCUUGCUCUCCUGCUCACCCUCUCUUUCUCUUUUGGCCUCUCAGGCACUUUGCUUCUGAACCCAGUCCAAAUCAGAGAGACGUCUCAGGUGACAUUCAAGCUCGGUUUCCAAAAAUCCCAAAUUGGUACCUUAUCAUGAUCCAAGCAAACAUACAUACAUAUAUGAUAAAUAUUUGGAGGGCUGACUCUAGAGGAGGCUUUGGAACUGAUCACCUGUGGACUAUCUGGUCAGUUUCAUUUUUUAUGAAACAUGUCCAAAUAGCCUUCAUUUUGCAAAGUGGCUGGAUUAAAAUGGUGGCUGUGCAACGGCUGUGCUAUCUUCUCAAAUCAUUUAACUUACCUACAAGUUUUUGUUUCUAUUCCCUUUGCCAACUCAUUUUAUAAAUGUUAAGUUAAUGAUUGCAAUGUCUGCACCUCAAAAUCAGAAUUCGCAAUUCUGUAUUGUCAUUGUAAAAUCUGACAGCUCAAUGCCUUGUAUUUCUCUAAAUGCCAAAAGACUACAAUAAACCUAGUUUAUUGCUUUAAAGAAAA